rnacentral:siRNA from 1 species
GCAUGUGUCCAUGUACUGCC